rnacentral:rRNA from 1 species
UAGGGAAAUCUUUCGGCAAUGGACGAAAGUCUGACCGAGCAACGCCGCGUGAGUGAAGAAGGUUUUCGGAUCGUAAAACUCUGUUGUUAGAGAAGAACAAGGACGUUAGUAACUGAACGUCCCCUGACGGUAUCUAACCAGAAAGCCACGGCUAACUACGUGCCAGCAGCCGCGGUAAUACGUAGGUGGCAAGCGUUGUCCGGAUUUAUUGGGCGUAAAGCGAGCGCAGGCGGUUUCUUAAGUCUGAUGUGAAAGCCCCCGGCUCAACCGGGGAGGGUCAUUGGAAACUGGGAGACUUGAGUGCAGAAGAGGAGAGUGGAAUUCCAUUUGUAGCGGUGAAAUGCGUAGAUAUAUGGAGGAACACCAGUGGCGAAGGCGGCUCUCUGGUCUGUAACUGACGCUGAGGCUCGAAAGCGUGGGGAGCAAACAGGAUUAGAUACCCUGGUAGUCCACGCCGUAAACGAUGAGUGCUAAGUGUUGGAGGGUUUCCGCCCUUCAGUGCUGCAGCAAACGCAUUAAAGCACUCCGCCUGGGGAGUACGACCGCAUAGGUUG